rnacentral:rRNA from 1 species
UACGAAGGGGGCUAGCGUUGUUCGGAAUUACUGGGCGUAAAGCGCGCGCAGGCGGCCGUUCAAGUCAGGGGUGAAAUCCCAGAGCUCAACUCUGGAAUUGCCUUUGAGACUGCAUGGCUUCGAGUACGGUAGAGGUGAGUGGAAUUCCCAGUGUAGAGGUGAAAUUCGUAGAUAUUGGGAAGAACACCGGUGGGCGAAGGCGGCUCACUGGACCGUUACUGACGCUCAUGCGCGAC